UUUCUUCUUUUUCUGUUACUACAACUUCAUUCGUUUCAUUGGCUGGCAGAAUCUCCUUUGUUAUCUCUGUUCGUUCUGUUAUCAGAGGUCCAUCGCCAUUUUCGGUAACAUUCUUAGUCUCCACAGAAGCCUCCUUAAUGGUUUCCUGUGAAGGUAGUUUUUCUUCUUUUUCUGUUACUACAACUUCAUUCGUUUUAUUGCCGGGCAGAAUCUCCUUUGUUAUCUCUGUUCGUUCUGUUAUCAGAGGUCCAUCGCCAUUUUCUGUAACAUUCUUAGUCUCGAGAGAAGUCUCCUUAAUGGUUUCCUGUGAAGGUAGUUUUUCUUCUUUCUCUGUUACUGUGAUUUCAUUCGUUUCAUUGGCUGGCAGGAUCUCCUUUGUUAUCUCUGUUCGUUCUGUUAUCAGAGGUCCAUCGACAUUUUCUGUAACAUUCUUAGUCUCCACAGAAGUCUCCUUAAUGGUUUCCCGUGAAGGAAGUUUCUCUUCUUUUUCUGUUACUUCAACUUCAUUUGUUUUAUUGUCGGGCAGAAUCUCCUUUGUUAUCUCUGUUCGUUCUGUUAUCAGAGGUCCAUCGACAUUUUCUGUAACAUUCUUAGUCUCCACAGAAGUCUCCUUAAUGGUUUCCUGUGAAGGUAGUUUUUCUUCUUUUUCUGUUACUUCAACUUCAUUCGUUUUAUUGCCAGGCAGAAUCUCCUUUGUUAUCUCUGUUCGUUCUGUUAUCAGAGGUCCAUCGCCAUUUUCGGUAACAUUCUUAGUCUCGAGAGAAGUCUCCUUAAUGGUUUCCUGUGAAGGUAGUUUUUCUUCUUUUUCUGUUACUACAACUUCAUUCGUUUUAUUGCCGGGCAGAAUCUCCUUUGUUAUCUCUGUUCGUUCUGAUAUAAGAGGUCCAUCG